AAAUAUUUUAAUGUUUGUUGUAUAAUGUAUAAUUAACGUUUAUUUUCUUUAAAAGUUAAACAUGUAUGGUUAAAAUGGUAAUUUCAAAUUUUUGAGACGAGAGGAGGCGGAGCGAAGCAAGAAAAUGUCAAAAUUAUUCCAUGCCCGCCUUUCAAGCAAAAAGAAAAAAGAAAAAAAUUGCCUUUUCCCGUCUCAUCCC
rnacentral:lncRNA from 1 species